UACGGAGGGGGUUAGCGUUGUUCGGAAUUACUGGGCGUAAAGCGCGCGUAGGCGGACCAGAAAGUUGGGGGUGAAAUCCCGGGGCUCAACCCCGGAACGGCCUCCAAAACUCCUGGUCUUGAGUUCGAGAGAGGUGAGUGGAAUUCCGAGUGUAGAGGUGAAAUUCGUAGAUAUUCGGAGGAACACCAGUGGCGAAGGCGGCUCACUGGCUCGACACUGACGCUGAGGUGCGAAAGUGUGGGGAGCAAACAGG
rnacentral:rRNA from 1 species